CCUCUUUUUGGCAGCAGUGAGGAAUAUUGGUCAAUGGACGAGCGUCUGAACCAGCCAAGUAGCGUGAAGGAUGACUGCCCUAUGGGUUGUAAACUUCUUUUAUAUGGGAAUAAAAUGUUCCACGUGUGGGAUUUUGUAUGUACCAUAUGAAUAAGGAUCGGCUAACUCCGUGCCAGCAGCCGCGGUAAUACGGAGGAUCCGAGCGUUAUCCGGAUUUAGUGGGUUUAAAGGGAGCGUCGGUGGAUUGUUAAGUCAGUUGUGAAAGGUUGCGGCUCAACCGUAAAAUUGCAGUUGAAACUGGCAGUCUUGAGUACAGUAGAGGUGGGCGGAAUUCGUGGUGUAGCGGUGAAAUGCUUAGAGAUCACGAAGAACUCCGAUUGCGAAGGCAGCUCACUGGACUGCAACUGACACUGAGGCACGAAAGUGUGGGUAUCAAACAGGAUUAGAUACCCGGGUAGUC
rnacentral:rRNA from 1 species